rnacentral:rRNA from 1 species
UUAGGACGAAGUGACUGACACCACGCUUCCAGGAAAAGCCACUAAGCUUCAGCUGUAGAAAAACCGUACCGCAAACCGACACAGGUAGGCAGGGUGAGAAUCCCAAGGCGCUUGAGAGAACUCGGGUGAAGGAACUAGGCAAAAUGGCACCGUAACUUCGGGAGAAGGUGCGCCUCUUGGUGUGGUCACGUGCGUGACUGAGCAUCGAGGGGUCGCAGUAACCUGGCCGCUGCGACUGUUUAUCAAAAACACAGCACUCUGCAAACACGAAAGUGGACGUAUAGGGUGUGACGCCUGCCCGGUGCUGGAAGGUUAAUUGAUGGGGUCAGCCGCAAGGCGAAGCUCUUGAUCGAAGCCCCAGUAAACGGCGGCCGUAACAAUAACGGUCCUAAGGUAGCGAAAUUCCUUGUCGGGUAAGUUCCGACCUGCACGAAUGGCGUAAUGAUUUGGGCGCUGUCUCAACGAGGGGCACUGCGAAUUUGUGGUACCGGUGAAGACGCCGGUUGCCCGUGACUAGACGAAAAGACCCCGUGCACCUUUACUGCACCUUAGUAGUGAGUGUUGCCGUCGUCUGCGCAGGAUAGGUGGGAGGCUUUGAACCCGGGUUUUCGGAUUCGGGGGAGCCAAUGGUGAGAUACCACCCUGACGAUUGCGACGCUCUAACUUCGUUCUCUUAUCGAGAACAAGGACACUGCUAGGCGGGUAGUUUGACUGGGGCGGUCGCCUCCUAAACUGUAACGGAGGCGCGCGAAGGUUCGCUCAGGCUGUUUGGAAAUCAGCCAUAGAGUGCAAAAGCAUAAGCGAGCUUGACUGCGAGACUUACAAGUCGAGCAGGUGGGAAACCAGGCUUUAGUGAUCCGGUGGUUCCGCGUGGAAGGGCCAUCGCUCAACGGAUAAAAGGUACGCCGGGGAUAACAGGCUGAUCCUUGCCAAGAGUUCACAUCGACGCAAGGGUUUGGCACCUCGAUGUCGGCUCAUCACAUCCUGGAGCUGUAGCAGGUUCCAAGGGUUCGGCUGUUCGCCGAUUAAAGUGGUACGUGAGCUGGGUUUAGAACGUCGCGAGACAGUUCGGUCUCUAUCUGUCAUGGGCGCGGGAGAUUUGAGUGGAGCUGACCUUAGUACGAGAGGACCGGGUUGGACGCACCUCUAGUGUACGAGUUAUCACGCCAGUGGUAGCGCUCGGUAGCUAUGUGCGGGCACGAGAAACGCUGAAAGCAUCUAAGCGUGAAACGUUCCACGAGAUGAGAUCUCCCUAAGACGCAAGUCUUCUAAAGGCUCCUGGAAGAUGACCAGGUUAAUAGGUCGGGUGUGGAAGCGCUGUGAGGCGCGAAGCUUACCGAUACUAAUCAGCCGUGAGGCUUGAGCAC